rnacentral:misc_RNA from 1 species
GUAGGUGAACCUGCGGAGGGAUCAUUACAGAGAACAUCGCCCGCGAGGGUGACUCUCCAACCCUAUGUUAAUUAUACCUUUGUUGCUUUGGCGAGCCGCUCCGGCCACCGGCUUCUAGCUGGUGAGUGCUCGCCAGAGGACCCUAAACUCUGUUUAUACAUGUCGUCUGAGUACUAUAUAAUAGUUAAAACUUUCAACAACGGAUCUCUUGGUUCUGGCAUCGAUGAAGAACGCAGCAUCUGACUGACUC